CACGUAGGGCGCGAGCGUUGUCCGGAAUUAUUGGGCGUAAAGAGCUCGUAGGCGGCCUGUUGCGUCCGCUGUGAAAGCCCGGGGCUUAACCCCCGGGUCGGCAGUGGAUACGGGCAGGCUAGAGGUAGGUAGGGGAGAAUGGAAUUCCCGGUGUAGCGGUGAAAUGCGCAGAUAUCGGGAGGAACACCGGUGGCGAAGGCGGUCUCUGGGCCUUACCUGACGCUGAGGAGCGAAAGCGUGGGGAGCGAACAGG
rnacentral:rRNA from 1 species